rnacentral:misc_RNA from 1 species
GAUGAAGAACGUAGCGAAAUGCGAUAAGUAAUGUGAAUUGCAGAAUUCAGUGAAUCAUCGAAUCUUUGAACGCACAUUGCGCCCAUUAGUAUUCUAGUGGGCAUGCCUGUUCGAGCGUCAUUUCAACCCUUAAGCCUAGCUUAGUAUUGGGAAUCGACUUUACUGUCGUUCCUCAAAUUCAACGGCGGAUUUAUAGCAAUCUCUGAACGUAGUAAUUUUUUUUCUCGUUUUUGAAAUACUAUAAACCUCAGCCGCUAAACCCCCAAUUUCUUAUGGUUGCCCUCGGAUCAGGUAGGAAUACCCGCUGAACUUAAGCAUAUCAAUAAGCGGAGGA